rnacentral:sRNA from 1 species
UGACUGAUGGGAUUCCCUAGCAAUAGGUU